UUGAGUGUUGAUUGGUAGUUUACACACACUUUGUAUGGUGGGAAUGGGACUCUUAAAUACAGAUACUUUUUUAUUUUUUUUAAUAAUAAAUAAUAACAGUGUUAAUGUAUAGUGGGUUAAUCAGAUUCAGGACUCUAAAGCUAAGCAUUUAUCUAUGGUUGGUCUGGUCCAAUGCUUAACUUGUUUAUCGUUACUAGAAAGAAGCUAGUGGACAGCUUUAUUAUCAACACAUGAUACCAUGAGGGAACCAAACCUUUUGAUAAUUUUAUGUUAAAAUUAAUUUGCAAUAAUUUGCCUUCCCCUAUUUAUCUAUUUUUUAUUAUCAUUUUCCUUAGACUCCGAAUGGUGAUUACAGUGCAGGACAAGCGUUUCAAUUGUGGUACGGUUUUAACAGUUAUAAAAAUGUAUAAAUAUAUAUUAUAUGUAGAGAUUUUUGUUAUUGUUAACUGCGGAGCGAGGCGGGACAAUGGUCACCAUUCGAAGCCUUAGUUUAAAAUUAGUUUCUUUCACAUUUUUGUAAUUAUCCCAUAUAGAAAAUCCACAACAAUUAGUUGUUUUGUUACCAUUCUCAGGGGAAAUUGGUUAACUGACACAAAGAUUUGGGGUCUAUCUGUAAUUAAUGAGUUUCCAUGGGGUCUAUUCGUAAUUAUUUCCAUCACCUUCUUCCUCAUUUCUCAAACUCCAUGCUCCGUUCCAUUGAUUCUUCUUCAAAAAGCUUUGAGACUCAGGGCUCCUGAUGAAACCCCAACAAGAAAAAUCUUACCUUUAUCUUAAAUUCUUCAAUGGCGAUCAUUGGAGACGCGUUGCCGAAGCAUGAGUACGCGAGCCUCAGGGAGGAAGAUAGAGCUUUGAUUAAGCUUCAGAGGCCGUUACUAAUGUCCACAUUGGGUUUCAUUUGCUGUGUCAUCUUCACUUGCACGGUCGUCAGCUCGAGAAUUGUGUUUUCUUCAAAUGUUCUGCGGCGACGUGAAGCUAUAGCCUUUGAAUGUGUAUGGCAACGCUAAUGAAUCUGAUAUAUUUCCAGGUGCUUUUUACUUGACGGAUCAAGAGACUGUUGUUGAUUUCUACUGGAUGGUUGUAGCAGGUGAGUGUCAGUCUCUAGCUUCUACUAGGAAUUUUUGUGGCGUAUUCCGCUCCUCACCGACAUGGGUUUCUAAAAGUUGUUGAAAAUAGCUACUGUACUCUCUUCUCUCGCUCUUUAUUUCAGCGUUCCAUAUAUGUGUCUUCCAUCCGUGAGUGCCAUAGAUUCAUUCCUUUUCAGUACCAAACCUUUUCUUGUACACUUUAUGGUAUGUAGAAUCCUGUUUCAUCUGCUAUUAGUUAUGAUGUUUCCACCUUUGAGACUCUGGGAUCAUCAGAGUUUCUUAUCACUAAGCUUUGGAUCUUAAAUUGGCUAUUGAUCUUCUUGAUCCUGCCUCUGGUAAAUUCACAGGUGGGGUUCGUUGCCUGUCAAUUCUGAAUGUUGUGUUUGCUAUCAUUCUACGGUCUCCUAGCUAUAUUUCUCGGCUCAAGCCUCCUGACACUAGGAAGCAGCUGUUCUGUACUAUUGUUUUGGUGCUACGAGGUAUCUUCAUGGGGUUUGGUAGUCUUGUAUGCUGGAACUGCUUUCUUCCUUAGGAGAAGAGCUGCUUUAACUAAUGACGAAGGGGAGUUUGGGAACAGAAACCAUCAGGGCUUGGAGAUGCUUGAAGCUAAUCCUUUGGAAUUCACACCAGAUGUCGAAAGAAAGCAUGGAUGGAUCCAUCUUUGUUAUCAUCUGAUGAAGAAGACGAACCUUAGUAUUACAAUGAAGUUCCCUCAAGAUCAUGAUUCUUGAGAAGAAGCAUUUGGUAUGAUGGUAACAAAGACAAAUAGUCACCUCAAGAGAUGGUUUCUUCAGAGACUGAGCUCACCAAAUUGUUGCCUUGGACUGAUCAUGAGAUGAUUGUGGAUCCAGAAGAUAAAUCAGAGCAAGUAGGCAGUAGGAGUGUUGAGGUUGUAGAUAUACAUACAGUGUAUCAUCAAAACUGGGUUUGGUUCUGUCUUUUGGUCAGUCCACCGUCUGUUUUGAUCGUUUACAUUGGUUUCGGAAUCUUGAAGUUGGAGUGCAGACCUAAAUAUACAUUUUGACCUGACGUUCAACAGUGUUUGAAACUCAUACAAUGUAAAAGUUAAUUUAUUAAGAAUAAAUAUCUUUUUCGCUA